CGGAAGGUUCGAUUUUGCCGGGGGUUGCCCUUGCCUCAGCUUUUGGAGGCGUGGAGAACCCGCGCUGUUCUGCGUCGCUUGCGGAGUGAAUUCGAGGCGGUUUCUCCUGGGUUAGGGUGGUGGCAUGGUACCAGAUAUGACCUCCCUGAACUGGUUGCUUGCAAGAGACUUUCUUCAGAGAUUUCAGGUUACCCUCAAGAUACAGAAGCCAAAUUAUGGAGUCCACAAAAAGUAGUGAGAAAUCCAGAACAGCCUCCUGGAAUCUUCACUCUGGGCCAUUCCUGAUGCUCAGCACCACUCCAGAUCUCCAGCUUCCUAGUAAUAAAGAAAUUGAGAUCCAGAGAAGUGAAGUGGUUUGUAUAUGUCAUACAUCUAGAUAGUAGCAAAGCAGAAACUGGAUUCCAGCUCUUCAUUCUUCUGGUCAUUUCUUCUUUUUAUGCACCACAUUGACUUCAUUUCUAUGUUGUUUUACUGUUGCUUUGUUCCUUGGUAUAACUUCAAAUAAGGUCAUAAGUAUUGUUCCACACAUAAUAAUUAUUAAGGGGUGUCAGUAAACAGAACACAGCUUUCUCUGCUCUUUGUUCCUUUUGCAAACAGAUUUAACACAUUUGUUUUUGGAGAAGGAGCAGAUUUUGUUCCUGAGUUUUAUGGGCU